AAAGAUUAUGAAGUGUGUAAUUUGUACCCGAUCCAUAUAUAUUGGUAAUUUUUUUUUUCUCUCCCCCACCUGAUGCAUGUGGUUUUCCAAAAUUAAAAACCAAAAUCAUCAACAAGGCCCAUCAAAAUCCAAAGCGCGCCUGGCGCGUUCUUUCUUCCCCUUCGCGAUGAGCUCUUCUGUGGCUCCUCUUCUUCUCAUUUUCUCUUUCUCAGUCUUGCUCUCUAUCUUUUCAUGCUCAAGCGAUGAUACUACAUUCAACGGCAUUGAUUUGGAAAAUCCAGUUAUUGAUGUCAUUCCAUCUCCCCUCACUGCUUAUACAUCAUCUUCUCAUGGUUCCAAAGAUGUUUUAUUGUGUGAACGCAUUCGAGUUGCUGGUCAGUCAAGAUUGGAACUUGGGAGUUAUGCCAGUGCAUAUCAGGUUAAAUUGGUCCCAUCUGCAGUAAUUCUUGAGAGUGCACAACAAAAUUCAAAUUUGUUUUCACCAGAAUGCUUCACGUGGUAUGUGUCAAUGUGAAACCGAUGAAUGGAAAACUGUCCACAAUGAGCUUUGGAGCUCUGUAAUGUCACCUUAUGAGGACAGAUAUGUUGAAGUGAAGUUUGUUGAUAAAUUGCUGGUUAUGUGACGGUAACAGUUGAUAAAGAGUUUCAAAGAUGGCGUCUCUUUUGUCUUGCUUUUGGUUUUGUUUUAUUGCUGUUGGCACCAGUGGUCAGCAGUUGGGUUCCCUUCUAUUAUAGCAGUUCAAUGGCUGCUGGAGUUUUUCUUGCCAUUAUUAUCCUUCGUUUUCAGGGGAUGAAAUUAUUACCAACUGGGAGGAAAAAUGUCUUCUACCUCACUUUAUAUGGAUCGGUGCUUGGAGCUGGUUCCUUCCUGUUACAUCACUUUUCAAUGUUGGUCAAUUCAAUUCUUGUCAGUUUUGGGCUGAGUGAAGAGAUGCACAACCCUGUAUGUCCUACUACCAUUAUGUUUAUAUAAUGAAGACUUGUUUACCCAAAGUAAUUGGCUUCAUUUGGUCUGGAAUGUACUGUAUUUCAAUUUUUUAGUGAUGUAGUAUAAUAAAUAGACUAAGAGUUUGUUAAAUAGCUUCUUAGUUGUAGUAUAUAAACAGGUGAUGUAAUACCCAUUGUACUUAGAUUUGGAAUGAAUAAUAUAUAUUGUGAUUGGAGUA